GUGGGGAAUAUUGGGCAAUGGGCGAAAGCCUGACCCAGCAACGCCGCGUGAAGGAAGAAGGCCCUCGGGUUGUAAACUUCUUUUAAGAGGGACGAAAGAAAUGACGGUACCUCUUGAAUAAGCCACGGCUAACUACGUGCCAGCAGCCGCGGUAAUACGUAGGUGGCGAGCGUUAUCCGGAUUUACUGGGUGUAAAGGGCGUGUAGGCGGGAGUGCAAGUCAGAUGUGAAAAUUAUGGGCUCAACCCAUAACCUGCAUUUGAAACUGUUCUUCUUGAGUGGUGGAGAGGCAGGCGGAAUUCCGUGUGUAGCGGUGAAAUGCGUAGAUAUACGGAGGAACACCAGUGGCGAAGGCGGCUUUCUGGACUGUAACUGACACUGAGGCACGAAAGCGUGGGGAGCAAACAGGAUUAGAUACCCGAGUAGUCC
rnacentral:rRNA from 1 species